rnacentral:rRNA from 1 species
UACGGAGAGGGCUAGCGUUGUUCGGAAUUAUUGGGCGUAAAGGGCGCGUAGGCUGGUUAAUAAGUUAAAAGUGAAAUCCCGAGGCUUAACCUUGGAAUUGCUUUUAAAACUAUUAAUCUAGAGAUUGAAAGAGGAUAGAGGAAUUCCUGAUGUAGAGGUAAAAUUCGUAAAUAUUAGGAGGAACACCAGUGGCGAAGGCGUCUAUCUGGUUCAAAUCUGACGCUGAAGCGCGAAGGCGUGGGGAGCAAACAGGAUUAGAUACCCUGGUAGUCCACGCUGUAAACGAUGAGUGCUAA